UGUUGCUGGUAUUUAGGAAAAUGAGUGACAUAUAUUAAACUUGUCUCCUACAAACUUGGCAUAAUCACUUAUUUUCAUGAGUUUUGUCGAUUCCUUCGGAUUUUCUACAUAGACAACUGUGUUAUCAGCAAACUAAGGCAGUUCUAUUUCUUUCUUCCCAUCAGUGCAACUUUUAUUUCCUUUUCAUAUCUUUAGAUAGGAUUUAGAUAGGCAUUAGAUGGGACUUCCAGUAUACUGUUGAUAAGGUGCACUGAGAGGGGACCUUCUGGACCUGUUCUUGAUUUUAGCAUUAAGUAUGAUGUUAGCUGUAGGUUAUUUUGUAGAUGUUCUUUAUCAAAUCAAGUUCCUUUCUAUUCUUAGUUUGCUGAGAGUUUUUUUAUCAUGGCUAGGUGUUGGAUUUUGCCAAGUGCCUUUUUUGCAUCUAUUGAUAUGGUCAUGUGAUUUAGUUCCUCAGCCUGUUUAUAUGAUGGAUUACAUUAAUUGAUUUUUGAAUAUUAAGCCAGACUUGAAUGUCUGGGAUAAAUUGUAUCUUGGUUACAUUUUGAUACACUUACUUCUUUCUGAACCUGUCUCAAGAGAGAGUAUAGUUCAUUGAUUAAGAGUGGAGGUGUACUGCCUAAGUUUAAAUUAGACCUCUAUUGCUUAUUAGGUGCAGGAACUCAGGCAAGUUAUUUAACCUCUCUGUGCCUCAGUUUCUACAUUUAUCAAAUAAUAAUGACUGAUCCCAAAGGGUGAUUGUGAGGAUUAAAUUAUACCUAAACAGUUUAGGGCUCCACCCAGUACAUGAUGGAUGAGAGGAUGAUUUGCCAUGAUUAUCUCUCUUCAUUUGAACGUAUGCUCCAUGUGUCAGUUUCUCAUUGUAUUCACAAUGCCUAGUAUAAAAUAGAUGCUUGACAAAAUAAAGCACUAUGGAAAAAAUGUACAUUUUUCCUUUUGUGUGUGUGUAUAUGGUGAGGAUUCUGUAAUUCUACUUUGAUUGUACACUUGCUAAUUCAGAUAAAUUAGCCCCGAAGAAGGUUCUCAGGGGAGUGAAUUUUCUUGGACUGCUCUGAUCAUAGCCCCCAAAGCGUUCUCCAUUUUCUUGUGUUGGCUCUGACCUCCUCCUGGUCACCAUCUCUGGUUGGUUCAUAGCAGCGCAAACGGGGAGCUUGCCGAUGAGGAGCGAUAGGUAAUAUCCCCAUUUUAUAGAAAAUGAUGCCAGAAGAAAAAACCAUACAUAGUUGCUAGUGGUUCCCAAGGGUUAUAAACUUCUUCACAUGUUUACCAUCACCUGUUUCGGCAUCUAGAUGGCGUAGCUUCUCUAUUUGACCCUGGUCCUGCUACUCCUUUCUUACUUUUUAUGCCACUCGAAUCAGAGUGCUCACUCUCAACCUUGUAGAAAUUACCCUAAAGGUAGAAACACAUAAUUUAUAAACAGGUGUGAAUAAACAUUAGUCAUAACAAUGGAAAGAUGGCCUUGGCAUUGAGAGGAGGAUGGCAGAAGCAAGGCUACAGAAGAGCAGCGCACUAGCAGAGCUUAUGUGUUGUCUGUGUGUAUUUGUGCAAAGUUAUUAAAAAUGGCAGUGUGUAGUCCACUCCCAAGUGGAAAUUGAUACAAAAAAACAAUGUAAAAACAGAAGUUACAUUAAAGGAAAGAGUAUAUACCAACUGUUGUAAACAUGUAGAAACCAUAUGCAUGAACACAAACGUCUCUAUGGGAAUUUUCCUUAAAAAAAUAUUCCCCCCAAAAUAAAACACCAUGUUCACAAGAGCCCACCAUAGGCCAGGUACUGUGUGAGGCACAGGGAAUACAACAAUGAGUAAGAUGGACUUGAGGACCAAUGAAAACCUCAUGACAAAAGCCUGGGAAAAUCUGAAUGUGUAAUAUUAGAACAGGGUUAGCGCUGUUGUCAUUUUGGGCACGAUGAUUCCUUUUGCUGGGGCCUGUCCUGUGCAUAGUAGGAUGUCUCAAAGCAUCCCUGGCCUUCACCCACUAAAUGCCAGUUGCAUCUCCUAACCUGUGACGACCAAAAGUGUCUCUAGACGUUGUCAAGUGUCUCCCAGUGCGGGGGGUGAAGAUUUGCUCCCCAGGGAGAACCUUUGCUUUAGGAGAAUAUUUAAGAAGUUAUGGAACACUCAUUCAAUAGGAAAAUAAAACUGUAAUCGGGAGGCUUAUACAGCACCAUCUGAAAAAAGUGUGUCAAGUUUAAAAAGCAGAAAGUAAGACUGCGUUUAUUCUACAGAUUGCAACCAGCUUGGCUGAGGUUCUAGGUUCAGAGGAAGCUGUUGAGAAAAGGGAGGAGAGAAAAACUGGUGACCUAGAAAUCACAGGAGCCAGGGAACCUCGAGGAAUUGAGUAUUCUGGCUCAGUCUUGGAUGAGGAGCCCAAAGAUAAACACGAGUCAGGCAGACACAAGUAAAACAAUCAAAUGCGGGGCCGUGAAAAGGGGGUGUCCAAAGUAAGUUCAGGGAGACGAACGGGUGUAUCAGGGGUGAUAUUUUAAAUGUUUAAGAAUCAAAUACGGCAGAGGAACCACCAAUCAUAAUGGCCUUCUGCUGAAACCACCCAGCACGGCCUUUAGCAUGCCUGCAAGGGUCUGGGGGAAAUCCGUGAGGGAGAAACAGUUGACCAGAGUAAGUCAAUCCAGCCGGGGUCCAAAAGUGGCACAGGGAUUAAUCUUGGAGCAAAACCUGGCAAAACAGAAGUGGUCAGAGGCCAGGGAGAUAGUGGAAGAAAUAAGAGGGCCUAGGGCCCAGAAGAAAAUCCACUGGAGGGUUGAGUUAUAUUUAAUCUCAUUCGUUGUGUACCUGGAACCAAAGACACCAGAGAAGUUUCAGACAUAAAUUAUGUAUACAUGUAAACAAAGACAGAAAGGGAGCACAGAAAAAUGGAAACAGUUUGAUUUGUGGGGCUUUCAGUAUCUUGGGUGAUUUUUUUUUUCCUUCCUUUAUUUAGAGGUCUGUUGAUGCUGCUACAGUUUUGUUCCGGCAAUAAAAGGAAAGUAUAUGUGGAUGUUAACAAAGAUGAGAAGGGUCUCUGGAAGGAUGUAACUGGUUAGAGUUUAAUAUUCAUUAGGUUAAAAAAAUCUAUUAAGUUCAUUGAAGAAGUCAUGAAAAGAAACCAAAUACCCACCAUCUUCUUCCUUCCCAGGAACAUGGCAGUGGUCCCUUCGAAGCAGUCCUGAAGGAAGGGGCUGAGUGUGUGAUGGCUGCCCAGGGGCCAGUGUGGUGUUUCAUGCCGGAGGGAUACAGCUGUUCAUUUCCUUUGCCUCCUCUUAUCCCGCUUCAGCAUCAGCUCAUCGUUCAUACUGACCCCUCCCUCCCCAUGUUGUAGCGAGAGGUAGUCCUGAGGACACACACUUCAUCCGUUGCAACAGAUUAGCUCUGGUCACAGCCUGAUUACAUGAACUGCAGCCAAACCCCUUAUUUAUGCUCUUCUGGGGAUGGGCAGGAACAGAUAGGAAUGGGUAAUUAAGGGACAUUAAGAAAAAAACUAAAAUAUUGCUUGUCGUGCUUUAAUAUGAGCACUAUUAAUGAUGCAGUAUUGUAAACACUGAGUAAAGAGUUUGCUGCCAGCUUGUUCAUGCCAGGCAGCCAGCAGACCCUUAUCCCCAGGUGGAGGAUUAGUGUAGGUACCUCCUUGGUGAAAGCCUAGCUAUCAGCAGUAGCACCUUGUAGAAGGUCCAGCCUAUCUGGUUGCUUCAGGGCAACUGUGCAACUCCACCAUACAGGAUGCUAAUGGAUAUAGGAAGCUCUGUGCCUCAAGGCUAGUUAGCAGCAAAUAUAUGGGCACAUCUGCCUUUUAUUUCAUCAAAUGAAUGCAGUUUAUAGGAACCUGGCAUGUUAUUUAUAGAGAACACAAAGUAUUGGGGAAAACCUCAGUUAGGGAAUAGUGAGCUAACAGAACUCAGAUACUCACACACACACACACACACACACACACACACACACACACAGAUGUACAUCCCAUCAGAAUAUCUAAUGGAGAUAAUUUAGGAAAAACUAAUGGAUGCCCUUCAAUUAGGGGACUCAUUAAAUCUGCACUGUCCAGUACAGUAGAUACUAGCCACAUGUGACCACGUUUAAAUUUUAAUUAAUCAAAUUAAAGAAAAUGAAUAAUUAACGAUUCAGUCCCUCUGCCUCAUGAGGUACUUUUCAAGUGCUCAAGAGCGUCAUGUGGCCAGUGGCUACCAGAGUAUACAGUGCAGAUACAGGACAGCUCCAUCAUCACAGGGAAAUCUGCUUGGUAGUGCCGGGUGAGAGAGAUGAUGUUGUAUCCAGAGAAUCAGCUACUCUGCAUAUUCUCAGAAGAACGAGGUAAAUACAGAUAUUCUGACAUGAAAAGGUCUCUGUUGUGUAUUGCACGGAAACAAAUUACAAAACUUUAUAUUGGGUUGGCCAAAAAGCUCGUUCGGUUUUAAGUACAAAUAAGACACAUUUUUCAUUUUCACCAAGAACUUUAUUGAACAACACAUUCAUUAACCAGACAAACUUUUUGGUCAACCCAAUAUUAAUUUUUACUCAAAAAACAAACGCAUUAUGCACACACAUACAUGCUUUUUUUGUGUUAGUAUAGGAAAAAGAGCGUAAGGAUAAUCACUAAAUUGUUAGUAGUAAUUGCCUUGAGAUGGAAGGCCUAGAGCUUUGCUUUUUAUUUUCUCCAUUUAUGUAUUUUCUGAAUAUAUUUCAAUGAGAAUGCAUUACUUUUGUACUUAAAAAGAGAUUAAUUUGAUGAUAACCCAUGAAGACAAUUCAGAAACAUGAGUAGGGAGGUUUAUCUCUUUGGGACUUUAGUUGGUUAAAGCCUGGCUAAUGAGGGCCCCUGAGUGGGGUUGACCAGAUGGCUUGUUAGGAAAGGGCAUUGUGGGAAGAGAAGGGGGCUGAUUCAGAGGAAAUCCAUCCCUGCUGUUCUCAAGCCACACCUACAGGCGUGCCCUCCUUGUCUUGAAUGUUCUGUUCUGGUAGGGAGACAAACACACUUUAUAAUCAAUUCUGAGGACCUUUUACUAUUAAUCUUUGGGUGAGUCGAUAGAAGCAUCUGCUCUGGGAUGAGGCAGAAAUACCCUGGGCUUAAAUGUCAAAUAGCACCUGGGAAGCAUAUUCAACCAAAGAUACAUGUUGGUCAGGGAGGGCUUCUCUGCCACGUAAGAGGGGAACAAAAAGAUAUCUUCCAGGCUGGUGUAAAAGUAUUAAAAUUGUGUGUGUGCCUGUGUGUGCAGGUGUGUGAGAUGCCCUUAUCCUUCCUGUCCUAGGAAAUUUACUUCUCUGCUAGCUUACGUACUAUGUGAAUAAAGCAUGGGCUUGGAGAAGAAAUACUUUCUUCUUUCUUUCAGAAAGUCAUCUCUGCUAUCCAGCAUUACAGACUUUCUACUCUGGGUUAUGAGACACUUGAACUCUUAGGACAGUUCUGGAUCCACUUCUGCUCCUCUAACUAUGGGUCACUGGGCAGAGUUCCUUGACCUUUGAAAUUCAUUCUCAUUCUGGGGAAAAUAGAUUAUCACUAGCCCUUACCUCCUAGGGUGGUUGCUCAAAGUCAAAGGGAGAAGUAGGGUGAGUACUUGGCACAUAGUAAGUGCUACACAGUGUUAGCUUCCAUUGACAUUAGUAUUACUUUUUGCUAAGCAACAGUGCAAAGCAGUUUGCUGUACCUGUUCUUCUUGUGGAUGUGUGCCUCCUCACCAGAUGGAAGGAGUGUCCUUGGAGGGCAUGAGUGCCACACUUCUUUCUCUUCCUCUGGGUUCCUGACAGUGACCUGCACUAGCUAAUCAGUACAUUCAUGCCAAGUGCCUGGUGCUUGAGAAUGAGAGCUCAGUGCUACCCAGUGGAAUGUGCCAGCCAGUGAGCCCAGUACAGUCCUGGGGUCCUGUCAACACAGUAGUUGGGUGAAAGAAGUCAGCCAUAACUUUGAAGCAUAACUUUCUGAGGGAGAAGGCUGGAAGUCUUUCCAUUUUGAUGGUAGGGAGAAAGGAUCCACACUUUCUUCUGCAUGUUUCCUUAAAACCGCCUCACUCUCUACGUGUGAUUUUUUUCAGUUUUUUCAAAGAGAAGAAAAUGUUGUUAAUCUCUGACUAUUGACCACACUUACAGUUUCCUGUUUGUUUAGUUCAUUAAAAUGAAGAUCUUGUUUUGCACAGUGACAGAUUUUUAUAUGAAACAAUAACAAUAAUACGAUGUAUUUUUCAAGUAAGCAUUUUAUACGCAUACAUGUAUGCAUAUACAUGUGUAAGUACGUAUAUAUGUCUUCACAUUCACACUCAUGCAUGCAGAUUUGAUCUUUAUUAUUCAGCUAUUCUGUAUUUGUGAAUUUGCCUACUCACGAAAAUGUUUUGUAACCCCCAAACCAUUACUCACAGUGUUUUCUGCGUCCUUUGCAGUCAUGUAAAGACCAGUGAAAAAUCUGAGUCAUCUGACACGCAUGUUCCUAGUGCCAACAAGGUGACACUCUGCCUUCCUGUUUCAGCUCUCAUACUGCAAGCACAUGUCCUUUUGGUGGUAUUUAGUGCCAUUUUUCUUUGCACUUUUGUGCUUUUUGUUGGCGAUUUUGCUGAUUAAAAUGGCCCACAGGUGUAAUACUGAAGCGCAGUCUAGUGUCCCCAAGCGCAGAAGGCUGUGAUGUACGUUAUGGAGAAGGUACGUGUGUUAGAUGAGCUUCAUUCAGACGAGAGUUACGGUACUAUUGGCUGUGAGUUCAAUGUUAAUGAUUCCACAAGGUAUGUUAAAUAAGUUGUCUUUAAACAGAAACACAUAAAACAAGGUUAUAUAUUGAUUGAUUGACAGAAUGUUGUGACCAGAGGCCUGCAGGAACCUAACCCUGUACUUCCACCAGGAGCGUUGAUUCACUAUUUGCUAAUUCAUUAUUCAUGGUGACUGUAUAGAACAUAACUGCCAUAUCUAUUGUGUAUAUAAAUCUCUUUAAAUCCACAUAGAGCCUGUAUGAGAGGGAGUAGACUAUGGUGCUUAAGUUCCUGAGCUCUGGGCCAGAGUCACAAUGUCCCUUUCUGCCUUCAGCUACUAUACACCUGGUUUUGCCAGGGCCCAUAGCUGCUGGGGAACCUGCUCAUGGAAGUUGGGGUAUGUUUGCCUUUAGGUGUCUUUCCGUCUUUCCAAGCUCCUGCAAUCAGGUGUAUACUUAGGGGAAUGGAUGACUUAUCAUUCGUUGUAGAAAUUAUGCCACAGGCAAAACCUUUUUGUGUCCAUUAAAUAAUAGAGCCACUUCAGUAAGGCAGCCAAUCUCCCCUUCAAAGGUAAGGCCCCUGGAUCACGGCACAGAGUCAAGAAGGAACCCCUAGGGCAGGAGGUGAGAGGCUCAUAGGCCAGACAGCAGCUGGGUGCUCUCACACUGCGCCUACCUGAAGUUGACCGGAGCCACUCAGAGCUGCGACUAGGCACAAGCCAGGCCAGGAGGCUCCACAGCAGUGUGUAUCUGAGUCUGAGACAGCCAUGAAAUUGCAGUCACCAUCACACCCCAGUGCACGGCCCCAUAGCUCAUUCCUGCUCACUACGUCCCUGGGCUUCUCUGUGCCUCUGCCCUGCCACAGCAGGCGUUCACGACUGUGUGUGAGGGAGCCUUUCCAAUCUUUUUAUGCUCUACUUUCAAAGCAGUCUUGAAAUGAGAUAAGUUAAAGCCUAAUACAGUUUUUCAGAAACAUCUGUAUUUGUCUGGCUGACCUAAUAUUAACACAGGUUCUCAUCUCUACUUGAAUGUUGCUCCCUCUAUUGCUACACCAUUACCAGGGCUGCGCUCUGAGUCUUUAAAGCUCAUCCCUGCGCCUGAUGCCAUGAAUACCAAGUAGAUCAUGUAGGGUGGCUCACACCCUGCAACGGACACAGGGUCCAGCUACCCAGUGAGUUUACGAAGACUCCCAAGAGACAGCAUACAAACCAUGGGCUUGUUGCUUCCCUGUUCAACUGCUCCACUGAAUCUUGGCGUCUAAGACUUUGGUUGUUCCCCGUGUCCCAUGAGCUCUGAUCACAAGCAUUAUAGGGCUUCUCUGGUGGCACAGUUGUUAAGAAUCUGCCUGCCAAUGCAAGGGACACGGGUUCGAGCCCUGGUCCAGGAAGAUCCCACACCCCACAGAGCAACUAAGCCCGUGCGCCACAGCUGCUGAGCCUGGGCUCUAGAACCCGUGAGCCACAACUACUGAAGCCCGUGUGCCUAGAGCCUGUGCUCCGCAACAAGAGAAGCCACCUCAAUGAGAAGCCCGCGCACCGCAGCAAGGAGGAGCCCUGCUCACCACAACUAGAGAAAACCCGCGCGCAGCAACGAAGACCCAACGCAGCCAUAAAUAAAUAAAUUUUUUUUUAAAAGCA